CAGCUUCACGCUCCCAUCAGUGGUCUCACCAUAGACCUUCUAAUCUUGAUUGUGUUGACUGCUGUCUAUUUUCUAAUGGUGUUUGGUUUUGGAACCUGCAUUUCUUUGAAAAAGAGUGAGCAUGUGCAUUUUCCCAGAUGCCUAGUAUCCAACUGCACUUCUCCAUGUGUGCAUUGUCCCCUGAGCUGGCAAGAAGAUCCUACUAGUUGAUCUGCAUGCCAUGCCAGCUCGGCCUUGCACCCUGGGGGCCCAGGUAACUAGCUCUCACCAACAGAAAGAGAUGUGAUGGACAUCACUUGAGGCCAGACCCUAAGACCUCUGUGUGCCCCCUCCGUGUCUCCUGUCUGCAGCUAUUGUCCACACCAAGGGUGGCCUACAGAGGGAAGUGAGGACCUUGGGACUUCCUCCAGGACAGCCAUCACUGUCCAAAUCUCCACCUGCUGCAGAGCUGCCUCCAGUCAAGCCCUUGUUUCCGGCUUUCUGUGCCCUAAAUAAACUGCUAGGAUUGAGCCGUCAGCAUUCUGUGGUGGGCGUCGCUGCUGUGAGGUUGCCCUCGUGCACACAAGCUCCUCACAGAUAUGGAAGAGUAACUGAGAGCAGCUGCCUGGUGCUUCCCAACCUUAGAGGGAGGUCACGGGCAGUCUCCCUGUGAUGCCGGCCACAGGGUCUCGCUGUCGCCCAGGCUGGAGGGCAGUGGUGUGAUCUCGACUCACUGCAGCCUUGACCUGUUGGGCUCAAGUGAUCCUCCCACGUCAGCCUCCAAGUAGCCAAGACCACAGGCAGGCGUCACCACACCCAGCCCCCAUGAUGACUUUACUUUUCUUCUUGAACCUGGUGAAUUUCUGUGUUAACAUUUCUGAUUUGAACCCUUCUGAUAUUCCUGAGAUAAACUUUAUGUGACCUUGGUAUUCUGUUGGAUUUUGGUUAGCUGAUACUUCAAGAUUUUUA
rnacentral:lncRNA from 1 species